rnacentral:rRNA from 1 species
CCUACGGGUGGCAGCAGUGGGGAAUAUUGCACAAUGGGGGAAACCCUGAUGCAGCAACGCCGCGUGAGUGAAGAAGUAUUUCGGUAUGUAAAGCUCUAUCAGCAGGGAAGAAAAUGACGGUACCUGUGUAAGAAGCCCCGGCUAACUACGUGCCAGCACCCGCGGUAAUACGUAGGGGGCAAGCGUUAUCCGGAUUUACUGGGUGUAAAGGGAGCGUAGACGGUUAGGUAAGUCUGGAGUGAAAGCCCGGGGGCCAACCCCGGGACUGCUUUGGAAACUGUGUAACUGGAGUACAGGAGGGGGAGGCGGAAUGCGUGGUGUAGCGGUGAAAUGCGUAGAUAUCAGGAGGAACACCGGCGGCGAAGGCGGCGUGCUGGACUGAAACUGACGUUGAGGCACGAAAGCGUGGGGAGCGAACAGGAUUAGAUACCCGGGUAGUC